rnacentral:rRNA from 1 species
GAUUUGAUCCUGGCUCAGGAUAAACGCUGGCGGCGUGCCUUAUGCAUGCAAGUCGAACGUGAAGCCCGGCUUCGGCGGGUGGAAAGUGGCGAACGGGUGAGUAACACGUAGGAACCUGCCCGGAAGUAGGGGGAUAACGUCCGCGAAAGCGGGGCUAAUACCGCAUGUGGUCGAAAGACUAAAGCUUCGGUGCUUCCGGAGGGGCCUGCGGCGGAUUAGCUAGUUGGUGGGGUAAUGGCCUACCAAGGCGACGAUCCGUAGCUGGUCUGAGAGGAUGGUCAGCCACACUGGGACUGAGACACGGCCCAGACUCCUACGGGAGGCAGCAAUGGGGAAUUUUGGACAAUGGGGGCAACCCUGAUCCAGCCAUUCCGCGUG